AUGUGUUCCAUAUUAUUACCCGGUUCGUGUUAAAACCAGAUUUUGUACUAUACUGGAUGCACCAUGUUUAAAAUCAUGUGCAGGACUAUACGUAGACAUAUAUCGUGAAAAAGCUU